GCAAAUGAUGCAGUCCUUACAGAUGGUGCUGUUGGGUUUUUUAGAAUGUUUUAAAACACUGAUGGAUUUGACCAUGAACUGAAUUUCCAGUCUCUUAGAUUCACCUCCAGCCACCCCUUGACGAUCUCCAAGGCAACUGGAGACAAGGAGCAGACCUUUUCUGCAAACUUAUGAUGAAUGAUUUCCUUUAAAAACUACUCGCAUAAUAAAAAUGUUUUGGUGUAAACUUGGCCAAGGGGAACUCUUGAAACUUUCAGUUUCUUUGCCUAACUCUGAGUUGCUUGAGUCACAUUUUUGCAUGGUUCUUGAUUGACUUUCUGGUGCUCUGCCUGGAGGUCUUUGCUUAUCUGUGAGUUGCCUGAGUCACAUUUUUACAUGGUUCUGGUGCUCUGCCUGCAGGUCAAGAAGGAGCCAGUAUCUCCAGGAGGAGUGAGAGAGUGCUCUGCCAGUGUGAAGUGUGAAUCCUUGAGAGGCUGUGGCAAGGGUCCAUGCCUGAAUGUGUAGAACAAGAACAGCUGGAGGCUGUGGCUUUCUCCAGGAAGAGGUUUCUAAAUCUGCCUCUUAGAAGAUAUCAGAAAGUUAAAGUUUCUCUUGCUGCCGCCGUGUAAGAAGGACCUUUUGCCUCCCACCAUGAUUCUAAGUCCUCCCCAGCCACGUGGAACUGUAAAGCAGCUACGGCUUAGAAAGGCUGAGGAACUUGCCUGAGGCUAUCCAGCUACUGAGAGAUAAACUGGGGUGUGAAUUCAGAGAGCUUGACUCCUGAGGCUCCACCUGUGCCUAUAAUUCCAGCAUGACACCUGGUAAUGGGCACUCAGUAUAUGCUUGUUGAUCUAAACUCAGUGUGUGUGUGUGUGUCUGUGUGUGUCUGUGUGUGUGUGUGUGUGUGUGUGUGUGUGUGUGGUCUUCCUCUCACAUCCAAAGCUACUAGCACUGAGGAAGUUGGGCAUGGUGUAGGAAAGAGAAAUCUUUGCUGUUAAAUCUCAUUUCCAGCAUAACUGUCAAUGGAGAGGUGGCAUGGAAGGGACAACCAGUUCGUGUACCAAAUUACUCUCAGCUUGCUUGUUGUCUUAGGCAUAUGUUCUGGGAGUGGCCAACACCUGUUUUACAUCUGUGUUAGUCUUUGCGGAAUAAAAAGCAAAUUAGGGUUUAAUGGGGACUAUUAAUCUUGUCACCUAAUUGAGUAGAUCUAAUAAAUCUUUUCAUUCAAAACCCAAUGGGAAUUUCUAGUUGGAAAUGAGUGUGGGGAAUAUUCAAUCUCAAAAAUAUUUUCAUACACAAAGAUUAUAUAUGAGUUUGUGAAAGAUGUUGAAUAUUCAAUGAAAUUUAAUGAGUAUGAAUUGAACACUUAUCCUGGGCCUAGAACUGUUGGCAGUUGCUUUUGAGAGUUACAGAGUACAUUUAUGGUAAUUACUGCACUUACGAAUUUUGCUAUGUGGUUUGGGAGUAUCUGAAGUAUCUUAUAGUAGGUCUCUAAACUGGUAAUAAUAAAAAGUUCAAAUAUAUUAUUUUGUUACACUCCACGAGGAUCAAACUUCAUCAUGACAUGAUUAUAAUUUGAAAUAUGAGUAAGAAAUACGUAGGGUCAUGAUCUCUAUAAGCCCAUUCUUUGCUUCUUAAUUAAAUUUUGCAGCUGAUAGAAACAUUGAAAGCAGAGCAUUAGCUUAUAAAUAAUUCAGAAAAUGGUUGGUAACUCCCAUAGUAUAUGUUUUAUGAGUUUUGUUUAAGAAGAGUCUAUUUCGUGUUAGGUAAAGUUGGCCAUUGUUUAGAAUAAAGACCUGCAUUACUUUCUAUUCUAAAUUAAACUGUUAAUGGGAGUGCUUGCAAAGGCCUUGGUGCUUUUUUUUCUGUUUAAUAGGAGCAACAUCACUUUGGAUCAAUUAUUUAAUUUCCUUAUGUCAGAGUUCUUUCAAUUUAAAGGAAAAUAUUUCCUUUCCUCAUUCCUUUUUCUCUGAGGAUGAACCAGACAUUGGAAGUUGUAGCCUGGGAUUGUACUGGAGCUCUCACUGUGGUUGCAUUCUUUCUUCACAUUCAGCGUCCUCCUUAAAGCACACAUUUUCACGUACAUCUAUUAAAUUACCUGGGAGAGAGUUCUAGACACUAUCAGUCAGUAAAUCCAGUUGUCUCAUUUUUCAGUUUUAGCUAUUGUUGCGGUCAUAUGCCAAGGCUUGUAUGAAUGAAGGGUCUAUAAAAAUAUCUGCUGUGGUGUGAUUUUUUUUAUCCUUGUAUGAGACCAUAGCAUGAGACAGUAGACUGGCAAAUUGGCAGGGCGAGGAGAGUGUUUGUGCUUACACGGGGCAAUGAAAAGAGUUUUGAUUCUUCUUUAGCUAAAUGUUAUAAAACUUUAAAGCUUACAUUUGAAUAAUCGUUGCAGAUGGGUUAGAUAAAAUCCAUCAACUCACAAUGUUUUUCCUGUUUCCAUUCACUAGUGAGUAACAAGGUUAAAAGAAGGAAUGUUCUAUAAAAUAAGAUAUAGAAUUUGGGUUAGGUUUACAAGUGAAGAGUUCCUCUUUGCCCUGCCCCCAAAUUAUUUUUAGGCCCCAGGCCUCUGAAGCCAAGGUAAUCUGCAGGGCAGCUUUCACAUUUUAUCACAAGUCAGUGGUCUCUCCUCUUCCUUGUCCCUCCUAUCUUGCCGGCAAAUGGCUCUGUGGGAAACCCAUUCUGCUUCCUGUUUAAACUGUAGAAACAAUUCAUUUAAUUCAAUAUCUAGCUUUUGAUUCUAUUUGCAAAAAUACAGUUGUAAAUAGUUCCAUUCAUUAGCCAAUUUUUUUUUUGGUCUGUUAAGCAUAUUUGGGUCAUUUUAUAGUUAACCUUGGCUGAGGGAGAGAAGUUCUUUGAAGCUCUUACUUACUUACUUGUGAAUUUUUGGGUCUGAUAUGGAGGCUUUGCAGGUCAGAAGCAUGGCUUGACUGACCCAAUGCCCAUUUCUGGCUCUCUUCAUCCUCGCUGACCUCUACAGUAGAGAAAGGAGAAGCUGAAUAUUCACUGCUCUAACCUCCCUUGAAGCAAGGGGUGGCCUUGUAACAGUUCUGGCCAAUGUGGCAUAAGCAGAAUUCUGCUGAGGUGGGUUUUGGGAACGGCUUUUGAUUUCCUAAUAAAAGAGGCCAGAACUGCAGGCACUAUUCUUUCCACCCCUCUUGGUCUUGAACAUGGCUACAAUGUCUGGAUCUAUAGCAGUCAGCUUGCAACUUUGAGACAAUAUGCCAAUCUAAAAAUGGUAGAGCAGAAUUAUAGAUGAACAGAUGAACCCUUGGUUUUUAUUAGAUCAUGGAGCCCCAUAUUAUACAGUACUGCUUCCCUUUAGACAUCAUACAUGAAAAAUAAAUCCCUUUGUGGUAGGUUUAAUACAAGGCCACAAAUUCUUUGACACUCCUCCCAGCAAAGUCUAAUUCACCCUCCCUUGAAUAUAGGCCAGCCUUACCCACUUGAUUCUAACUAGUAGAAUUCAGUAGAUGUGACACUGCAUGACUCUCCAUGCUAGGUUCACAAGUGAUGCGGUUUCUGCCUUUUUCUUCUCUCUGACAUGUGCCUUGGGAGCUUUGAGCUGACAUGUUAGAAGUCAGUCUACAUUGAAGCUGCCAUGCUGAAGAACUCAUGUGGGAGAACACACAGAAAUCGAGAUGCCUGAGGAGCCCCAGCUGUACCAGCCUCUAGCUCUCUGAGUCUUCUCAGCAAGAACUGUCAAACAUGAGAGUGAAGCAGCCUUCAGAUGACUCUGGCCCCAGUCUUCAAGUGCCCUAGCUGGUGCCAAGUGGAGCAGACAAGCUGCCACCCACCAAGCCCUUCCCAAAUUGCAGACUAGGAACAAAAUAAA
rnacentral:lncRNA from 1 species